UGCCAGCCGCCGCGGUAAUACGGAGGAUCCAAGCGUUAUCCGGAGAUCAUUGGGUUUAAAGGGUCCGUAGGCGGUCUGGUAAGUCAGAGGUGAAAUCCUGCAGCUCAACUGUAGCAUUGCCUUUGAUACUGCCAGACUUGAGUUAUUGUGAAGUAGUUAGAAUGUGUAGUGUAGCGGUGAAAUGCAUAGAUAUUACACAGAAUACCGAUUGCGAAAGCAGAUUACUAACAAUAUACUGACGCUGAGGAACGAAAGCGGGGGUAGCAAACAGGCUGAGACA
rnacentral:rRNA from 1 species